AAUAUUUUCACCACUGUUGAUGGUUAAGAAGGAACACGGAUACUGUAUUUCCGAAAGUCCCACACACCAUUCACCAUCCAAAUGAACAGUUUUUGGAAGUUGUGUGCAAAAGUGCGUUGUUGUAUUUUCGGGAAAGUAAUUGGUUGAGCUGUUUGAUACCAAAGUUAAAUAAAAUUCGUUAUUCAUAUCGAUGUAAGGGAACUGCACGGAAUCCACGAGUUAAACUUUGAAGGAUAAUUUUUCCACUGCACAAAAAUUUCACAUUUACCUCUUUUAUAUCGCUUCUUCAAUACUUUUUCAAUGUGAAAUGUACUCUGGGGGUCGUACGUUACGCGCUGUAAUUCGGGGUGAUAGAAGACGCCCUCUAUUGGUUCAUCCAUUAAAUCGGAAAUUUUGUACACAACGGGUUGUCUCAUUAUAACAUCAGUUAUUUUGAAUAUUUCACCGCUCCAAUUACUCAUGUAGCCUUUUUCAAAUACGUGCUUGUACUUGGUGAUUCUGACGUAAUCUCCAACUUUGUACACAUUUUCGAGUUUGAUCGUUUUAAUAUUCUUCUUUCUCGUACUCAUAAUGUUAUCGUAUACUUGCGCAACGUUGUCAGGAUUUACCUCGUUAGGAGCCAUUUUAAUAGUACGAUGAUAAGAAUUAUUGUAAGAGUGCAUGAAUUCGGGUAAUACAUCAAUGUAUUGCAUAUUAUUUGCAAACGUAAAAUAUUUAUGCAUUUUUGUUUUUAAAGUUUUAUUGAACCUUUCUACCACAGCAGCUUUUACAUCAGGAUUAUUUGUUACAUAAUAAUUUAUAUCAUAUUGUUUAAACAAUUUUUGGACAUUUUUCGCUAGAAAUUCUUUUCCCUUGUCAGUCUGAAGAUUAACCGGAACACGCUCAUCAAAUAUUUCUUUAAAAGCUGCAGCCACUUCAUUUCCCGUCUUUGUGUAUAAAGGUUUAACCCAUGCAAACUUGGAAAAUACAUCGAUGACAGUUAAUAGGUAAUUUACACCUCGAUUAUGUUUUGCGAUGUUUCUCAUAUCUAUUAAAUCAGCUUGAAAUAAAUCGUCUAUGUUGGUUACAUGAUAACUAUUUCUAGGAAAUCGACGACGAACUUGCUUAUGUAAUGUAUAAGAUUCCACACCUUCUAGCCAUUUAUUAAUUUUUUUCUUAUGUAUAUUUGUAAACUUAGCUAAGUUGUUAGGACUCGAAAAACCAAGAGGGUCACGAGGUAUAAAAUAUCUUUCCUUUAUUUCAUCCAUUUUUGUCUACUUGCUUUCAUACGGCGACCAAGGAACUCUCAAGCGUUUUUGUUUUCUUGAUGACGAUCGCAUUGAUUUCUUCGUUAUUUGACUAUCCUCUUCUUCUUCUUCUUCUUCUGUGUCAAACUUUGACGACGAUAUUGGUUUUACUUUCACUUCGUUUUUUACUUCUUGCUUUUCAGCACCUUGUUCAUUUAUAUAUUUCAAACGUUUUGGAUUAAUUAUAAGAGUACGUGGAACGUUUAUUUUAUACAAAAUUUCCGCAAAAUUUUUCCAUCCGACAGGCUCGGCAUUUAACUUAUUACUACUCUUCAUAACAUCAGUGAUUAGAUCAAAUAUAUUGGAACCAGGAAUUGUGUUUCCAUCGUAGAUAACGUUUCCGGUUUCAUUCCAUGCAACUCCAUUGUGUGUUAAAUUGUUUAACAAAGCAUUCGCUUUAACUUGUAAGGGUCUUGGUAGGGAACUCAAAAUGUUUCGAGUAAUUCGUUCAGAUUGUUCUAAUUGAUUUUCUUUAGAAUAAAUCACAGGUAUGGUAACAGGUUCACGAGAACGACUUAUCAUUUUUAGAUAUCUUUGAAGCACUUGAUUAUACAAAAUCCAUUUUUCAUUAUCAUCAAUGUUUUUCGUAUCUAUGAUUCUUUUCAUUUCAUGAUCUAAAUCAUUUAGGGUGUUUGGCUGAGUGCUUUUGUUAUUAUGCAAACGUUCAAGUUCGGAUGAAUCAAUGAGUACCAUUUUUUUCGUAUGUUCCAUUAUUUAUUAAAUAAAUGACCCAACACACCCGAAAUUAUUGGAGCCAACAACAAUGGUAUGUAUGCAUAAGAAGGUUCUUCAUCAGGUAGAAUAUUUGUUCGAAUACGGAAUUCAUCUGGAGUAUCUUGUUUUAAAUCAAUCAACAAAUAACCAUGCGGUCUCAUUGUGGCAUCCUUAUAAGCUUCCUGGAUAAAUUUUAUAUUUUCAGGAAAAAUCUGUCUAGCUAAGAAAUUAAUUUGAGCUUUAUCACGAGGAUUUUUAAAAUAAACGAUAUAGUUCGCA